CAACUGAUGCAGCCUCAAUACAGCCCACGAAUGGAGUGGGGCUUCCGGUACAAUAAUAUUUGUCUCUCAUCGACUUUUGUUGUGAGGCCAAAGCAAGGCGAGCCAUGUACAAGGCAUUCGAUGGCCUGGGACUGAUGAUGGGACUGAUCAUUGAACCAUACAUCGCUGAAAUGGACGUGGGAACUGGAAUUCCUGGAAGGCACUGAGGUACCUGAGCCAGUUGGCCUAUCUGUGGGAUGUAUGGGCAUUGAGAAAAUACAAUUGCCACAAUCAGACAAGGGAUGAGGGGUAAGGUGGAGUACCUGGCCGGUAAGCAAAGGCAGCUCUUCGAGAACUAUUACAACGAUUUUAUUGAGCAACAAUGUAAAUAACGCUAUACACAAUAUAAAUUCCACUAGUUUCGA